CUUGUGGUAAUUUUUAAAUGAUUCAUGAGCAGUAAGCUUUUUAAUUCUAAUAUAUCCAAAUAUAUCUACAUUUCCCUCUCCUUUACCAAUCAGUUGGUUGGGUAUAUUCAGGUUGAAAAUCAUUUCCCUCCCAAAACUUUAAAGCAGUAUUUUGUUGGGUUGUAGCAUUCAGGAUUGCUGAGAAGACUCAUAACAGUCUGAUUCUCAUUCCAAUAUAAGUAAUCUGUUUUAUUUUGCUUCUCCUGACUCUUUUAAGAUAUGCUUUUUAUAUAUGGAGUUCUGAAAUUUAACCAGAAUAUAUUUAAGCAUGGUGUUUUCGUCAGCUUUUUUUGCUGCUGUGACUAAAAGAAUUUAACCAGAACAAUUUUAGAAGAGGAAAAGUUUAUUUGAGGGCUCACCGUUUAAGAGGUCUUAGUCCAUAGAAGGCCAGCUCUGUUUCUCAUGGCUCCAGGUGAGGCAGGACAUCAUGGUGGAAGACUGUAGCUGGGGAAGCAGCUCCUGCGGGAUCAGGAAGCAGAGAGAGAUUCCACUUGUCAGAUUCAAAUAUAAACCCUGAAGCCACGCCCCCAAUGCCACACCUCCUCCAGAUACACCCCACCUUCCUUCUACCAGGUUAUUAAUUCACUGAUUGGGUUAAGACUCUCACAGCCCAAUCAUUGCUUGCAUUGUCUCACAAGUGAGUUUUUUUGGGGACCCCUCACAUCCAAACUGUAAUACAUGGGUAUUGAGUGUUUGUCAGUUCUCUGUUUAAUUUUAUAUGGCUUACAUGUGUCCUUUCAACCUAAAGAUGUUUGCUUCUCCUCAACUCAGGGAGAUUAUGUUCUGAAACUUCAAUUCCCUGGAACUAUCCUCCAUACCUCAACUUUUCUCUCAUAUUUCCUACCUUUUUAUUUUAUUUCUUUACAUGCUAGGAAAUUUUACUUUCCCAAACAUCAACUUGGUCUUUAGAAAAUACUUUAUUAUUUUUUUAUCUCCAAUAAAUUCUUAC
rnacentral:lncRNA from 1 species